UGUUGUCCAAUUACAACCUUGAAAGACAACACCACACCAGGUUCCAAGACUGCACCUGAUUUUAUUAUCACCCCAUCACAUACAAUUGCAUGCCUUAGCUCACAACCAUCUUCUAUAGUGACAUCAUCCCAUACAUAGGAACCUACUAUUGAAACAUUUGAUCCAAUUGCACAGUUUUUUCCAAUAACAGAAUUUGAAAUCUUUGAGUUGUUCCCAAUUCUGGUCCCUUUUCCAACAACAGUAAAAGGACCCAUUUGUGCAGAACGUGAUUGCUCUAUUUCGGGUGCUCUGUACAUCCCUUCUCUCUCAACCUUAGUUGCAGAAUUUGCAAAAAAGGUCACAUCUGGCACAAAUGGAUAUGUCCAUCUCUGAAUAAUGUCCUUACUGAUAGUGUCAUAGCUUCGAUAGUUAUCAAUCCUAGCCGCAUAACUUGAG
rnacentral:misc_RNA from 1 species